GGAAGGAAAUGCACCCUUGCCACAGAUAUCUCCAUGCUACUUGAGGAUUAAAGACGGCAACUUACCCGUUUCAUAUAUUAAAAAGUAUCUAGUGCAAAAGCUGGGUCUUGCUACCGAGGCUGAGGUAGAGAUCUCACUACAUGGCCAGCCGGUUCUUUCUACAUUGCAGCUGCAUCAUUUGGUGGACUGGUGGUUGCAGAUGGCACCAUCAUCUGAAAGAAUACAGACAAGCGUUGGCAGCUCAGCGAAAGAAUUUGUGAUGGUUCUGUCAUAUGGUAGAAAAACUCAACCUCCAUGAAAUAUUUGCACCAUGAACGUGAAUGGCAUCACUGAAUUUCAGUCCAAAUUUGGAGUCUUCAUUGUGUAUAUACACAGGUUAAGUUUGCUAUGACCUGUAGUGCAUAACCUGUUCUUUUGCAAAUAUUGGAAUUUUUUUUUUCGUCUUUUCUGUUCAACUUAACUUUGUUUGCAAGUAAAGGGUAUGGAAAUU
rnacentral:misc_RNA from 1 species